rnacentral:RNase_P_RNA from 1 species
GGUGAUCGCGUCUGAUGAACCAAGGUGACUGGAUCACCCAGGCAUCAGCCGAGGAAAGUCUGGACUCCACAGAGCACGGUGGUUGUUAACGGCAACCCGGAGUGAUCCGCGGGAAAGUGCAACAGAAAGUAGACCGCCACCGGUUUUUAGCCGGUGGUAAGGGUGAAAGGGUGCGGUAAGAGCGCACCGGCAGGCCAGGUGACUGGUCUGGCCAGGUAAACCCCACCGGGAGCAAGGCAUGAGGACGCACUCCAAUGGGUGUGUCUGUGCAGGCGUUUCAAAGGCUGCUCGCCGAGUCUGCAGGUAGCUGCUGGAGGCAGUCAGCAAUGACUGUCCGAGAUGGAUGUUCACCGCCCGCGGUUGUGGCUUCGGCCAGACCUGCGGGAACAGAAUCCGGCUUAUGUACCGGCUCAU